rnacentral:rRNA from 1 species
CCCUCUCCAGCUCUAUACGACUCACUUAAAAUAUGCUUGCGGGCAGGCCUCUGCAAUCACGGGCCCGGGAUCCGAUUAUCCGUUGAUCCUGGCAGAGGUCACUGCUAUUGGGGUUCGAUUAAGCCAUGCGAGUCGAGAGGGUUCAGACCCUCGGCGGACUGCUCAGUAACACGUGGAUAAUCUGCCCUAUGGUGGAGGAUAACCCCGGGAAACUGGGGAUAAUAUUCUUUAAGUCAGGAGUACUGGAAUGUCUCCUAACUGAAAGUUGCGGCGCCAUAGGAUGAAUCUGCGUUUUUUCACUACAUCUUUUUUGGGGUAACGGCCCAACAAGCUUUUUUAUCGGUACGGGUUGUGGGAGCAACCCCCCCGGAGAUGGAAUCUGAGACACGAUUCCAGGCCCUACGGGGCGCAGCAGGCGCGAAAACUUUACAAUGCAGGAAACUGUGAUAAGGGAACCCCGAGUGCCCGUAAACGCGGGCUGUCCCGGUGUUUAAACACAUCGGAAGAAAGGGCCGGGCAAGACCGGUGCCAGCCGCCGCGGUAAUACCGGCGGCUCGAGUGUGACCACUUUUAUUGGGCUUAAAGCGUUCGUAGCUUGAUUUUUAGUCUCUGGCAUCUCCCGGCUUACUGGGAGGCGUCUAAGAAUACUGGAUCUAGACGGGAGAGUAAAGGUACUCAGGUGAGUGAUCUGUAUUCUUGAGGACCAUGCGAGCCUUCACACGCUCUCAAUGAGACAACCUGGGAGAGAUAUACCCGCGCCUCCAUCGAGCUGUCUCAUCAUCCGCAGAUUCGU